rnacentral:rRNA from 1 species
UACCUACGGGCGGCUGCAGUGGGGAAUUUUGCGCAAUGGGCGAAAGCCUGACGCAGCGACGCCGCGUGAGGGAUGAAGGUCUUAGGAUUGUAAACCUCUGUCAGGAAGCAUUAAAUGCACGGGUAUCAACACCACCCGUGCUUGACUUAACUUCCAGAGGAAGCCCCGGCUAACUACGUGCCAGCAGCCGCGGUAAUACGUAGGGGGCAAGCGUUACUCGGAUUUAUUGGGCGUAAAGAGAAUUAAGGCGGUCAUGUAAGUCAGUGGUGAAAUCCCCCGGCUCAACUGGGGAAUUGCCUUUGAUACUGCGUGACUUGAGGACAGGAGAGGAAGGCGGAAUUCCCGGUGUAGCGGUGGAAUGCGUAGAUAUCGGGAGGAACACCUGAGGCGAAGGCGGCUUUCUGGACUGGUCCUGACGCUGAUAUUCGAAAGCUAGGGGAGCAAACAGGAUUAGAUACCCCUGUAGUC